rnacentral:rRNA from 1 species
UACGAAGGGGGCGAGCGUUGUUCGGAAUCACUGGGCGUAAAGGGCGCGUAGGCGGCCCUUCUUGUCGCGUGUGAAAGCCCCGGGCUCAACCUGGGAAUGCCAUUCGAGACUGCAUAGCUAGGGUGCGGAAGAGGGAAGCGGAAUUUCUGGUGUAGCGGUGAAAUUCGUAGAUAUCGAGAAGAACACCGGUGGCGAAGGCGGCCAUCUGGACGGUGACUGACGCUGAGACGCGAAAGCGUUGGGGAGCAAACAGG